UACUUUUUGCUAAUCCACAAAGAUUCGUAUUUGUUUGAUUAUAGGUUGUUGAUAGCGGUUUAGAGUUCAAUUUGUUUAUUUAUUUUGUGAUAUGGAUCUCUUCGAAUUCUUGUUUUCAUCGACAGUGUGAGUUUGUGUCCUUGCAACACAAUGGAUUUGGCCGAGAGAUAGAGCCGUUGGAGCUCGAGGGAGAGAUCAAGAAAAGGAGCUCGGUUUGUUGAGCUGGAACUAGCCGUUGUGAUCGGCAGUUAUAACUGAAUUUUGGAAUAGAGUUUAGUUAGUUUUCUUCUUCUCCAUUUCUUGUAUAUAGCUCGGUAAUUUCAGUUGUAAAAGCAGAGUGAAACAAUACACACAAUUACACACACGAUUAGGAGAUUUCUACUUGAGCUUGUGAUUAAGUCUUGAGUGGAUGUAUUGUGAGUGUGAUUCUUGUUCUUGAGAGUGCAUCAUCAAUAAAAUUCCGGUCAUCUUCUCCGUGGACGUAGGCAUCCUUGCCAAACCACAUUAUUUCUUGCUUCGUGCUUUAUUUUUCUUUUCGAUUUUUUCUUGUGAGAUCGGCGGUGCAACCCAACAGACAGCUACAUUGGUCACAUCCCGCGUCAAGGAUUCUGAAGCUUAUGAGGCAGUUGCAUCGAACACUAGUGGUUCCACACCCAAGGAUUUGUUCGAGGAUCUAACAGAAGAAUUGGAGAAAAAGCUAGUAUCCGAAGAUCUUAUUGAUCGAGCUAAAGAGAAAGAAGAGAAAGAGGUUAAGAAACGUAAACGUCUCGCCAAAAGAUUUAACUGAUAAAUUGAGCAGCACAAAAGUACGUUGGAUGUACUUGAGGGUGGAAGGAUGUGUUUGAUAGUUUAGCUUAAUCUCACAUUUUGUUUACUUCAUCUCCGGAAUUAAACGUGUUAUCCACGGGGGAGGAAUGCAAGCCACUAAUCGAGGAAAGCUCAGAGUACCGGUGAACUUCUCUUGAUUGGUUACGAUUUUGUCAUGUGUUUUCUAGGUCCAUUGGAGAAGAAGACUUCUGCAGAGAAGUAUUUGAUGAAUAUGUCUCUCGUUUACAAGAGAAAGCGAAGGAAAAGGAGCGAAAGCGAGAGGAAGAAAAGGUAACGAAAAUCGUCUAACUAGAACAUUGUCUGGAAUUUCCAAUUAAUUAAUCGAUAGCUUUGAUGGAUUUCCAAUACAUGUAUGUGCUUCUUUGUUAGACCAUGCAAUUUGAGAUGAAAAUCAACUCCGAAUGAUGUAAUGUUCGCGGUUUUACAUCUUUUUCUUGUCGAGACGGGGAUUGAGAUCUAUACCUUUCGUCUCAGUCUUACAAAGGGAGAUCGUUGUUUUACUACGACGUUUUUGAGUUGGGGAUAGGGGGUUUGUAUAUUUGAAUUAGCGCUUUGGUUAUGAAGAUAUACUCCCUCCGUUCCAUAGUAAUAGAGUCAUUUUGUCAUUUUGGUACGUUCCAUAGUAAUAGAGUCAUUUCCCUUUAUAAGUCAACGCAUUUUUCGACGCCUACUUUACUCUCUUUUACUUUUUUCUCUCUUCAUCUCUCUACCUUUUUCAUUUUCCACUUUAUUCUCCAUUUACUUAACUCACCUAACACAAAAUUUCUUAAUCUCCGUGCCAAAAAAGAAACGUCUUUAUUACUAUGGGACAGAGGGAGUACCAUUUAUAGGUUGAUUAGGCAUAGGGAUAUAGUUAUGUUUUGUUUUUUGUUUUUCUCUUCUUUUAUUGAUUUUGAUGUCGAAUUUUCUUCUUUGUUGUGAAAAUGGAUGUAUACUGUGGCUGGGGCUGAAGUAUGUGUUACUUUAUUAAAUUUCUUUUUGUAUUUUGUGUAA